rfam:Pichia guilliermondii ATCC 6260 scaffold_6 genomic scaffold, whole genome shotgun sequence.
GGUCCCUUGGCCCAGUUGGUUAAGGCGUGGUGCUAAUAACGCCAAGAUCGGCGGUUCGAUCCCGCCAGGGACCA